UACGUAGGGUGCAAGCGUUAAUCGGAAUUACUGGGCGUAAAGCGUGCGCAGGCGGUUAUGUAAGGCAGAUGUGAAAUGCCCGGGCUUAACCUGGGAACUGCAUUUGUGACUGCAUGGCUAGAGUUUGGCAGAGGGGGGUAGAAUUCCACGUGUAGCAGUGAAAUGCGUAGAUAUGCGGAGGAACACCGAUGGCGAAGGCAAUCCCCUGGGCCUGCACUGACGCUCAUGCACGAAAGCGUGGGGAGCAAACAGG
rnacentral:rRNA from 1 species